CGAUUUGUAUACAAGUAUAUAUACAUGUACAGUAUUUGUACGCCUGUCCUAGCAGAUCGCCUCAUGGCAUGUAAUCUGGCAUAAUUCCAGCAUCUCAGCACUGAUUUCCUCAGCAGAGAGUGUCUGUCAAACUCGAUGUUCUGUACAGUUGAUCAUCAACUACUUUUACAAUGCAAUAAGCCAAUGGUGCUUAGCUUCGGACUCGCCAAGGGUGUUGUAGUGCUGCUGCUGAAAAUGAGGUUCAGGUCUGAAUUUCCUUCCAUGAGCCGGGCAGGAGCAGGAUGUCUGGAUUGGAGCCGUUGGAUGUGGGCACCUAAGAUUUACGCACAAAUCUGGUUCAGUUUAUUUCAGAGAGACAGAUCAUCGAGGGCUCCUAUCUACCUUCUGGAAGGUAGAUAAGAGAUCAAACUUGCAACCCACCAACCGGCCCACGAAACAUUCACCUUCUUCCCUGGCAGCUCCACAUCCCGCCGCCGCCGCCUCCUCCACCAUCCCGGGCGGCGGCUGCCGAGCCGCCCCCACCAACCACCGCUGCCCGCUCGCCCGACCUUCCUAAUUCCAUGGACAUCCUCACCCCCGCCGCCGGUCACCGGCCACUUGCCGUCUGACCCCGCCCUAGCCUCCGUCGCCGGCCAACCCACCACCACUGCCGGGCCUCGACGCCAGUGCCGGUCCUAAGCUUUAGGGCCCUCUAACCUAUAUAUAAAUCUUAUAAUAUAUAUAAGUGCUUACAAAGCGAAACCAAACCCAAUAAUAUAUUUUUAAUUUAACAUGUUUGAUAAUUAUCGAGGAACAAUAUAGACUAAAGCUAAUAUGAUUACCUUAAGGAAGAAUAGAACUCCAUAAUAUACAUUGCUUAUCAUAAAAAGAUAGUUCUUCGGGCAUUUCUUGAUGCAAAAUCAUCAAGGACGGUAUUGAGAUCAAUAGUGUCCAAGAUAUCCCUCUCGAUGGUGCACAUAGCCAAUCCAUUUAACCUUUCUUGUGACAUAGUUGAUCUCAAAUAGUUCUUCAACAACUUCAAUUUUGAGAAACUUCUUUCUGCCAAAGCUACAGUCACAGGUACAGUUAAGAGGAUUGGAUAGGCAACUGAAACAUUUGGAUAGCAAUCUGCAGCUAUAACAAACUCCAGAAUCUCAAACGCUGACAUCAAAGAAUCUGGCAAAGUCACUUGUAGCACAUUUAAUUCUGAAAAAAAUCAUUGAUCUCAACAUCGGAUGAGUUAUCCUGAGAAAAUGUUUCCACAAAAUUCUUGCAGUGCAGCCAAAGAUCAGCUUCAUCCAAAGAUUUCAAAUUUUUUGAGUUGAACAAGAACCCAAAAAUGUUAUCAAAUUUUUUCAUCUGCCCAAAUCUACUAGUCAAUGAAUCAAUUGCAGCAUCAAUCAUAACAUUGAAGUACUCUACUCUAAAUGAGUCCACAGCAGAUCGUUGUAUUUCCUCAUCUUAGUCAUCUUGUUCAUCAAAUUGUUUCUUUCUCUUUCCUUGACGUUUUGUACGAAAUUUUGGCUCUAUAUCCAUUUCAGAUGCAAUGUUUUUUGUUGUAUCCAUACUAGAAGUGAAACUUUCAUCUCUAUACUUCUUAAAAUAUGAUAUGACACCUUCAAUAUGUUUGAGAGUAUCAUCUAUACUCACAAUUUUAGAUUGCAACUUCUUGCUCACCUUAUUUAUAGAGAAUAAAAUAUCGUGCCAAAUAACCAAACCAACUAAAAUUUCAAAAUUCUCUAGUGCACUCACCAAAGAUUGACAUUCACUAACUGCCAUUGGAUCAUCAGUUGAAGCCUUCUCUAGCGCUAUUAAAGCUGAUCUUAUUUGAGGAGUUUGGAAUCUGAUAGCUUGAACACUUUUUAUUCGACUUUCCCAGCGUGUAUUAGACUAUGACUUAACUGUCAAUCCUGGAAAAUUAUCCACUAAAAUCUUCCACCUUUUAGUAGAUUUUGCAAACAAUGUGUAUAUACGUUGGAUGAGACAAAAAAAAGAAAUAGCUUGCCUGCAAGAUUUAACAAAUAGUAAGUUUGAAACUUUUCCCAAAACAUGACAUAUUAUAUGAAAAGAAUGUAUAAUAGAAAUAAUAGUUUACCUGCAAGAUUUUUCCAUAUCAUAAAGAGUAAGAUUCAGACUAUGACAUGCACACGGCAUCUAUAGUGCUUUUCGAUUAAUUUCAAGCAAGCGCUUCUGAACAUCUUGGUGAGAACCCUUCAUAUUUGAACCAUUAUCAUAGCCUUGUCCUCUCACAUCAUCAAUAUUCAAAUCAAGAGAGGCCAAUACAUUCUUUAAUUCAUUAAAAAGACCUAAUCCUGAUGUGUCAUCUACCUUCAAGAACUCUAGGAAGAACUCCUCUACCCUUGGAACAUUCCUUGACAUAUUGACACACCGAAUAAUUAGAGUCAUUUGUUUUUCAUGGCUCACAUCUGGAGUACAAUCUAAAAUAACAUAAAAGUACUUGGCAUCUUUGAUGAUCUUUAGUAUAGUUUAUUUCACACAAUCUGCAAGAAGAGAAAUCAUCUCAUUCUGAAUUUUAUGCCCAAGAUAAUGAUGAUGAAUCUCACUAUUUUGAAUCCGCCUAAUAUGGUCUUGCAUCACGGGAUCAAAUUCACCCAUCAUUUCAAUUGUGCCCAAAAAGUUACCAUUGCUAUCUUGAUAUAAUUUCUCAUUUUUCCCUCGAAAAGUCAAAUUAUGUUUAGCAAGAAACUUGACAGCAGAAACAAUUCUUACUAAAAUUUAUCUCCAACGCUCUCUCUCCUUUGCAAUUUCUCAUUGCAAAUCAUCAUCAAUUGUUUUAUUUUUUGCUCAACCUUAGCCUAAGUUCAUUCCAAGUAUUCAUGCUUGUUAUAUGCUCAACACUAUUCUCAUGUUGUUUGAGUAUAAAACUAAGAUGUUUCCAAUCCCUCAAUCCAUCAUGUGCUAGCAAACUUUUGCUCUGACUUGAUUUGAACAAUUUGUAGCAAAAACAAAAAACUUUGUCCACAUGUUUAGAGUAAACCAACCAUUUUCUAUCAACCACCUCACCAUUGCUUAACUUUCUGGAGUAGUAAGCAUAUGAAAAAUGUCUAUUAAGAGCAUCUGCAGGGAACUCAAGAUUCAAUUCUCUCACCGGCCCCUUUUCAAUCAAUAUAUCUCUACCCUUAUUAUCAAGAUUUUCCCAAGUUCUAGGAUCAAAGACAUCAUGAAUAGAAGCUUCUUGCACAUCAUCAAUUGAAUUUUCAGGUUCACAGGAAGGCUGUAAAUUUUCAUUCUCUGUAGCAUCAUCAAUGUCAUCAACUUGUUCACUUAAAUUAUCAUUAAUUUGUUGAUAUUGCUGCCCUUGUUCUUCAAUAUCAAGUGCAUCUACAGGAUUAUCAUCAGGCACAAUACUGCUUGUAGCCGGAAAAAACUUAUGUAUAGCACCUUUUUGAGAUUCAAUAAAUUGAUCUUCUACUCUUUUCCGUUUUCUUUUCUGAGACCCCGACAAAUGUUUCUUAGGUAACAUUCUAAGUUUCUAACACCUAAAUUAGAAGAAAAAUACGACUAUAUGAGUACUGAGUACUAGAAGUCCGAAGUAAUUAAUUUAGAUUAAAAACGAUCAAGAAAAAAAAACCUAGAUCAUACCUAUGCGGCUGACCCGCUGUGCGCCUAUCAGCCUGUGCCGCACGCGCGGUGCUGCGCGGUGUGCCGGUGUCGCCGUCAGACUGUGCAGCCACGCAGGCCAAUCCCCUCCGGUGGCAGUGCGGCACGGUAAUCGACUAAUCGCCUAAUUGGCGAGACGGCGACUCACGACUCGGCGACUCACGGGUGAACGGCGUGCCGAUUCGCAUUCACGGAUGAUGGACCGACGGACGGGCGGUAGGCGUUUUGGCUUUCUCAUGCUAGAAGCCUAGCGCUGGUGGCCUGCUGCAGUAGUCCGGUUGUGGCCUGUAUGGCUGUAUCUGUAUACGUGGGGUCCUGGGCUAGGCCCCCCUUCUGUGGGCUCUAGGCCAUCGCACCCCGUGCCCCCUCCCAGGGCCGGCACUGCUCCACGCCGCCCCUACCCCCUCCUCUUCUAAGGCCGCAGGUCAUUGGAGCCCCUACCCCGCAACCCCGAACGGCCGAACCCUAACCCUAACCUCGCCGCCACCUCGACCACCACCCCAGCCGCCGGCCGCUCCCCCCAUCUCCCACCCUUCCUCAGCUCUCACUCCGGCCAAGCAACUUGCCCGUAGGCGUGCGAGAGCAGCGGCGCAAGUCAGCGGUGCCGCGGCGCGGGCGUGAGGAAGAAGAAGAGAUCGGGCCACACGAAUCUCAAACACCGGAAGGUUCAAUGCCUUCCCGCAGAUCAGAUGGUCUUUCCUUUUUUUUCUUCAGGGAGAAAGAGAGAAAAGAACGAACGGAUUUAUUACCUGCCCGCUCAAGCCAGCGACGGCCCAUCAACCGGCCCGUGUUCUCAUGUCCGUGGGCUAACAAACAGAUAAGACAGACAGGCAGGCAGAAGCCGCGAUCGCAGCCCAUAUCAGGGCAUCCCGCCACAACCAUGGGCCUGGUAGCGUUUAAUGGGCUGGACUGGAAAGCGCGCGAACGGGGGAUGAUGGACCGGUGCGGUCCAGUCCAGCAUGGCGCGCGCGGCAUGCAUGGGGGCUGAGGAGGGAACGUGCAUGGCGGGGCGCCUCCACGUGGAGACCGUGCCCGGCGGCCGCUCGCCAUGAGCACGCCUCAGCCCCGCGCCACCUCGGACGGCCGCGCCCUCACGGUGGCCACCGUCGCCAGGAGCCCUGAUCUCCUGCGGCCUGUGUGCCCUGGCUGCGUAGUUGCCUCGCUGAGGCUCCAAACUCCAGUUGGCAGCGUUCGUUGAUGCUUGAUUAGAGCUUCACUAACCUAACGCCUUUGGUCAAAUCCCAUACUGCCAAUACUAGUUCUGCUUUGCUCUCUUCACGCAUGAUUUUUUUGACAAAGCUAGGCAGCAACAACCAUACGCCUUCCUUGGGGAAGGAUUAGAUUUAGAGUCACGUGUCAGCAACAAAACUACUAAUUCCUGAGAGGUUGUGGUCUAUAUAUGUAUAUGUAGAUACGUAGCAAAAACUAUAUAUCUAGAAAAGUUAAAAAGAAUAGUAAUUUAAAACGGAGGGAGUGCGUGACAUCGGUAGACACGCAUUUGCGACGUGACCCCAAAAUGCUAAGACGACAAAAUAAGGUAAUAUUUGGAUCCGUUAGUGCUAAUAUUUAGCUGGCUACGCAGACAAUAGUUGCUUCAUUUUAUUAUUAGCAUAGGGUUGUAUCAUGUAUGGAUCAGAUAGUUGUUUGUUUGUGCCCACCAACUAUUAGCACCCGUUACAUGCAGUUUCCAACCAACUAAUGGACUAAUUGUUUGCGUAUGCCUGUUUGGAUCCCAAACUGCUAAUUCAGUAAUUCUAUACAUGCUAACUAUUAGUCGUAAUGGAUCGAAAUAGAGCCUUGACCAAGUAAUUAGGGCUUCCGUCUUCCAACAACUCGAUCUUAGUGGUUAACUAUAAAGUAUAAAGUCACUGUCAAGGACAUCGCCUAAUAUAAUAUACUGCCCCGCUCAAGACUAUACACACACACACACGCCCGUAGAAGGCCUAUUUCUGCAUGGACUAAUAAUUCCCCAGCUUUGACAGUAGAUAUCCGAGUAAGGAGAGUGAUGGGAGUGCGGAUGAUGCCUGGGCUAUACUGUUGGCUUGUAGGUACCAAGGUAAAUAUACUUUUCUAGUACCCCCAUAAUUAAUUGUUGUUUCCUAAUUCCUAUACACUAUGCUUAACAAAAGUAACUAGCUGGCACAGACAAUCCAACGCCGUGAAGCCACGUCGGAUCACGAGGUGCACGUCUCGGAAAAACUGGAAAGGAGCCGGCGGCAUCUAUGCUCUCCCAGCUUUCCAACGAGAUCUGUCGAUCGGCUGCUCGUGCAAAGCCACACCCCAGUGACCACAGUUGAAAGCCAUCAUGUCAUCAUCGUCGUCUUUCCCCCAUCCGCACAGAUACUGUAAGAUCUUUUCCACAGCCGGCCGGCCGGCGACCAUUCCUCCGGCGAUUAACCGCAACCUCCAUCUCUCUCCCGGCCCUACUCUGUGAAGAGAGCUCAAGGCUUCGAUCUCGACCGCGUAUGCUAUAUACCUGCGACGUGGCAACACGGACGCCGAGGAAAGAGACAGAGCAGCGCCUGACGACAAUGGCUAUAAAUAGCCUGUUACCUGCUCCCCAAACCCUCCAGCAACCUGGCAAGCUUGCUUUCACACCAGCCAGCUCCACACUCACUGACUCACUCUCCUCGUUACUAAUACUACUCCUGCUUGCUCGAGGCCGAGGUAGGUGGUGCGGCAUGGCCAGGUCUGAUCAAUACGAUCCCUUUGUAUGGGCGCUGCCCAUGGUGGAGGGCAGCAGCAACCUCAGGGGCUGCGGCGGCGCCACCGGCGACGACGACGACGACGACUUCGACGUGGCUCCGGCUGCAUAACAACUGACGGAUCUCUGCAGUGUAUGCAUGUGUUCUCGGCCAUGCUGAUCUAUGAGCUGAGAGAUCGUAUAUAGCGAUGAGCUAGUACGUUUGCUGAGGUUUCCGAUCGAGGUGCUGUAUAUUUCAUGCCUCCGAGCUAGAAAUAAUUUCGCUCCCCUAAUAGCUUGCUUAGCUAGCUCUAGUAGUUAUUACUAACAAUAAAGAAGCAUCCAUGCAUGGCCAUGUGUGUAUAUAUGGAGCGCAGAGACCUAAUGUGGGGGUUCUACUGAUAGUUUUGGUCGAAAAUAAGGGUAAUUGCUGUCCAGGGCUUCAUGAUUAAUGGAUGCUCGUGCAUCUUUGUUGGUGCACGAGGUCAGGAGUUGUACUUCCAUUAUGUUAAAGAGGCAUUAUUCAUGCAUGAUUGAUCUUGAAUGAUUGUUAGCAAUCCUCUACUCUUUGGUUUAAAUUCUCUGUUUGGAUUUGAAGUGGGAGGGGUUUACUUAGGUCAUUCUACAUCAUCUGGUGUAUGGAUUGAUUUAUAUAUGAACUCUUAGGAUUAACUGACCAAAAUUCACACAUCAUGGGGGAAAGGGUGAAAUUGAAAUGAAUGGAUAUGGCUUAAUGUACCACAAAUUAACACAAAGGAAACAAAUGAACUUGUAUCGAGUAGUAGACUCAAAAGUUCUUUUUACCUUAAAGUUCUUUUUACCUUAAAGUUGUGCUUAAUUACUUUUGGGCCUUACUCCUACCUUUUUAAUACACAAAGAAAACUUCUGUGCCAAACCACAAAUUAACAUAAAGAAAAGUUAGAUUUAGCUAAAUGUGGGACCGUUCUAGGCCUUUACUUCUACUUUUUAACAUAACAAGCAGCUCCCUAGGGUCAAAAAAUAUAUAUUCCAAAAAUAAUCUUCAAGAAAACAACCGAUCUGAAAAGUAUAUAGUAUUUCCCUAGGGCACCUUGGUAAUCUUGUUCUGAAUUAAAUCAUUCUCUUUCAACAUUAUUCCUGAAACAAUUUUCUCUGAGCGUCUGCCAGAAAAGUUUGUGGCAAAUCCUUUUGAUCUUGACUCAGUUAAUCAUAUACUUAUUUAAAAUAGUUUGAGAUGUCUAUGACUGAUUUAGCACAACAAGGAUGAUUAUUAUUCCAUUGGAGUUCAUCUACGUGUUUAGAUAUAAUUAAGUAGGAAUCUUUUAUUUUGGUGAAUGUUUGUUUGUAAUAUAAGUUCAUUUUUCCUUAUCUUAUAAAUUUUUUAAAAGAAUUGUGAAUUCAACAAGAACAAUGAGGAUGAUCUACUUAAUCCAUCAUUUCAGAUAGGUUAGAAACUUAGAACCCACCCCUACAACCAUGGGAGUGCAAAAAACUAAUUAAGGAUGUUCGUCAUGGCUAAGACUAAAAACAAGUACUACGCUGACGAUGAGGCUUUUAUAAGUAAUUUCUUCUCAGACGAAAAAAAAA
rnacentral:lncRNA from 1 species